rnacentral:rRNA from 1 species
GAUGAACGCUGGCGGCGUGCCUAAUACAUGCAAGUCGAGCGAACAGAUAAGGAGCUUGCUCCUUUGACGUUAGCGGCGGACGGGUGAGUAACACGUGGGUAACCUACCUAUAAGACUGGGAUAACUUCGGGAAACCGGAGCUAAUACCGGAUAACAUUUGGAACCGCAUGGUUCUAAAGUGAAAGAUGGUUUUGCUAUCACUUAUAGAUGGACCCGCGCCGUAUUAGCUAGUUGGUAGGGUAACGGCUUACCAAGGCAACGAUACGUAGCCGACCUGAGAGGGUGAUCGGCCACACUGGAACUGAGACACGGUCCAGACUCCUACGGGAGGCAGCAGUAGGGAAUCUUCCGCAAUGGGCGAAAGCCUGACGGAGCAACGCCGCGUGAGUGAUGAAGGGUUUCGGCUCGUAAAACUCUGUUAUUAGGGAAGAACAAACGUGUAAGUAACUGUGCACGUCUUGACGGUACCUAAUCAGAAAGCCACGGCUAACUACGUG